GUAGUCAUAUGCUUGUCUCAAAGAUUAAGCCAUGCAAGUCUAAGUAUAAGNUUUUAUANANCGAAACUGCGAACGGCUCAUUAAAUCAGUUAUCGUUUAUUUGAUAGUACCUUACUACUUGGAUAACCGUGGUAAUUCUAGAGCUAAUACAUGCUAAAAACCCCGACUCACGAAGGGGUGUAUUUAUUAGAUUAAAAGCCAAUGCCCUUCGGGGCUCACUGGUGAUUCAUAAUAACUUGUCGAAUCGCAUGGCCUUGCGCCGGCGAUGGUUCAUUCAAAUUUCUGCCCUAUCAACUUUCGACGGCUGGGUCUUGGCCAGCCGUGGUGACAACGGGUAACGGAGGGUUAGGGCUCGACCCCGGAGAACGAGCCUGAGAAACGGCUAUUACAUCCAAGGAAGGCAGCAGGCGCGCAAAUUACCCUAUACCGACUCGGUGAGGUAGUGACGAUAAAUACUGAUACAGGGCUCUUUUGGGUCUUGUAAUUGGAAUGAGUACAAUUUAAAUCCCUUAACGAGGAACAAUUGGAGGGCAAGUCUGGUGCCAGCAGCC
rnacentral:rRNA from 1 species